rnacentral:rRNA from 1 species
GAUGAACGCUGGCGGUAUGCCUAACACAUGCAAGUCGUACGAGAGUUUUUAACUCAAGUGGCGGACGGGUGAGUAACACGUGAGAAUUUGCCUUUAGGAGGGGGACAACAACUGGAAACGGUUGCUAAUACCCCAUAUGCUUUCGAGUGAAAUGAAUUUAUUCGCCUAAAGAGAAGCUCGCGGCUGAUUAGCUUGUUGGUGGGGUAAGAGCCUACCAAGGCGACGAUCAGUAUCUGGUUUGAGAGGACGAUCAGACACACUGGAACUGAGACACGGUCCAGACUCCUACGGGAGGCAGCAGUGGGGAAUUUUCCGCAAUGGGUGAAAGCCUGACGGAGCAAUACCGCGUGAAGGAAGACGGCCUAUGGGUUGUAAACUUCUUUUUUCAGGGAGGAAUUCAAUGACGUGUACCUGAAGAAUAAGCAUCGGCUAACUCCGUGCCAGCAGCCGCGGUAAGACGGAGGAUGCAAGUGUUAUCCGGAAUCACUGGGCGUAAAGCGUCUGUAGGUUGUUAAACAAGUCAACUGUUAAAUCUUGAGGCUCAACUUCAGAAUCGCAGUCGAAACUGUUUGACUAGAGUAUAGUAGGGGUAAAGGGAAUUUCCAGGGGAGCGGUGAAAUGCGUAGAUAUUGGAAAGAACACCGAUGGCGAAGGCACUUUACUGGGCUAUCACUGACACUCAGAGACGAAAGCUAGGGUAGCAAAUGGGAUUAGAUACCCCAGUAGUCCUAGCCGUAAACAAUGGAUACUAGAUGUUGAACAGAUCGACCUGUGCAGUAUCAAAGCUAACGCGUUAAGUAUCCCGCCUGGGAAGUAUGCUCGCAAGGGUGAAACUCAAAGGAAUUGACGGGGGCCCGCACGAGCGGUGGAGCAUGUGGUUUAAUUCGAUGCAACGCGAAGAACCUUACCAGGGUUUGACAUGAUACGAAUUUUUGUGAAAGCAGAAAGUGCCGU